AUCGCUUCUCGGCCUUUUGGCUAAGACCAAGUGUAGUAUCUGUUCUUAUCAGUUUAAACUAAGAGGUGAAAUAACUAAAUUAUUGCACCUCAAUAUGAGUUUUCCAGUAAGAUUUAAUACCAUCU
rnacentral:snRNA from 1 species